GUUAUAAUAAUUUAAUAUAAAAUGCUGGUUUUGUAAACCAGAAUUGACCCGUUCUUAUAGCU
rnacentral:tRNA from 1 species